UACGUAGGGGCCGAGCGUUGUCCGGAGUUACUGGGCGUAAAGCGCGCGCAGGCGGCUCGUCAAGCCUGACGUGAAAGCCCCCGGCUCAACCGGGGAGGGUCGUCGGGGACUGGCGGGCUUGAGGUCGGCAGGGGUUUGUGGAAUUCCUGGUGUAACGGUGAAAUGUGUUGAUAUCAGGAGGAACACCCAUGGCGAAGGCAGCAAACUGGGCAUCAACUGACGCUGAGGCGCGAAAGCGUGGGUAGCAAACAGG
rnacentral:rRNA from 1 species